rnacentral:lncRNA from 1 species
CCAGCAGGCUGUACACGAAUAUGGCAAGAAGCGUAAUUGGGUGCUAGGCGCAGACGGCUGCUACCAUUUCAACGCAGCUGAAGAGACGUGCGCGGCCGCAGCUGGGCUGCCGUCCGCAGAGCUAGCUGAACAAACCAUAGAGUACGCCAGACAUCUCGAAAUGAUUGUCUAAAUUCGAAUUUUUGUCUAUGGGCCAGCAGCUGAAACAGCCUUGAUUUUUUUUUUAGACAGCAUUCACAAUUUCGUCUACAUGGACUUUUCGUAUUGCAACAAUAUCUAAUGUCGCGAAGUUGAAUAAGUACCUACUUAUUCUAAUUUAUGGUUUUGAAACAAAUAAUUACUUUUUUUUAGUUUUGCAGUUACUAAUCUUUGAUAUUAGUGGCUAAUAUUCAGUAAUUUGUAUAAUGUGACCCAAAUUUUAUGCGUUAAAAACAAUUAAAAUAAAUAAGAAUGUAA